rnacentral:lncRNA from 1 species
UAGUAGAAAUGGAAAUAAUUUUUCCUUGUUGUGGUCAGCAUUUUUUUCCUCUCUUACAGGUAAUGUUAAUAUUCAGAAGAAGGUUUUUCUGGAAAUGGGAGGCACAUUUUCAAUCCAUGAUUUUCACUGGGAAUACCUAGAGGCAUAAGAUUGGAUGCAAGUCUAGUAGGAAGGUCAUUUCACAUCCAAUGGAGAAGGAGCUGAGUAUUUACCUUGGGAUUAUUCACUGAAUUCAUCAGAGCCUCUCAGUGUUAAACUAGACUACUGGAAUCUCUUUAAGAUGCUGUAUUAUUCUGCUGAAUUACUUAAUAAACAUUGCUUCUAUUCACCAAAUGAUUUAGUGGAAGUUUUAAUGCAGAU